ACCAGAUGAGCUAUCCCGAC
rnacentral:tRNA from 1 species